GGGGGUAUAGCUACGCGUGGUAGAGCAAUCGACUGCAGAAUGAGAUAUCCACGGUUCAAAUCCGGGUGUCCUCU